CUCUUUUCACUUCCUCCCUCAAAUUUUUCCUCAACCACUAUGCCCCAAUCAGCAAGUCGCUCCCCUCCCUAAUUUGCUUUCUUUCAAUGUUGUCUACUCUGUCCUCCUAGCCCCAAAGGUCAAACGCUGCAAACCCAUCCACCUUACUAACAAGCCCUCACGUUCCUCAGUUUGUGCCCAACCUUCACCAUUGUUCUUCUCCUUUUGGGUAUUUGACUACAAUACCUCUAUGUCCCUCAACCUCUGAAUUGUCAUUCUUGUCGCUAGCUUCCUAUUCUAUAAGAUCUUCACAUAGAUCUUUUUCAAUAGUUUGCGAUAAUACCUGCUUCAUGACGGAUCUUCUUCAUGCAGAUCAUCAGUUUAAUUGAUGUUUUUCAUUGUAUGCUGUUGAUUGUGUAUUUGUAGGGUUCAUUUAGGUGAUUUUUUUUAUGGUUUAUUCUGUUCAUUAAGUAAAUAUGAACUUUUGUGACCUUUAAUUUGG
rnacentral:misc_RNA from 1 species